rnacentral:rRNA from 1 species
UCCUACGGGAGGCAGCAGUAGGGAAUUUUCCGCAAUGGGCGAAAGCCUGACGGAGCAAUACCGCGUGAGGGAAGACGGCCUAUGGGUUGUAAACCUCUUUUUUCAGGGAGGAAUUUUGACGUGUACCUGAAGAAUAAGCAUCGGCUAACUCCGUGCCAGCAGCCGCGGUAAGACGGAGGAUGCAAGUGUUAUCCGGAAUCACUGGGCGUAAAGCGUCUGUAGGUGGUUAAGCAAGUCAACUGUUAAAUCUUGAGGCUCAACUUCAAAAUCGCAGUCGAAACUGUUUGACUAGAGUAUAGUAGGGGUAAAGGGAAUUUCCAGUGGAGCGGUGAAAUGCGUAGAUAUUGGAAAGAACACCGAUGGCGAAGGCACUUUACUGGGCUAUUACUAACACUCAGAGACGAAAGCUAGGGUAGCAAAUGGGAUUAGAUACCCCAGUAGUCCUAGCCGUAAACAAUGGAUACUAGAUGUUGAACAGAUCGACCUGUGCAGUAUCAAAGCUAACGCGUUAAGUAUCCCGCCUGGGAAGUAUGCUCGCAAGAGUGAAACUCAAAUGAAUUGACGGA